GUGGGCCACCACACCACGUUGAAAGCACCGGUUCUCGUCGGAUCACCGCAGCUAAGCAACGUUGGGCCACAAGGCAGUGGAGCGACGUUAAUAAAUGCAGUCCCGUGGUAGCCGGCG
rfam:Schistosoma mansoni strain Puerto Rico chromosome 1, complete genome